rfam:Clostridium sp. CAG:524 genomic scaffold, scf3
AUCUAAUUCGUGAAGUGACCAAAGACAGUAAGUACAAACAUAAAUCUUACCGAGGAAACAUUAUAAUGACGAUUAUAUCGUUUCCUUGUCAUGAGGAAACUUUUUUAUUACAUGA